GUAGCUUGUGUUCUGACAUACUGUAGCUUGUGUUCUGACAUACUGUAGCUUGUGUUCUGUCAUACUGUAGCUUGUGUUCUGUAUUUGAUGGGCUGUUCAUAGUAAGGCUGUUUACAGUUCAUAGUAAGGCUGUUUAUAGUUCAUAGUAAGGCUGUUUGUAGUUCAUAGUAAGGCUGUUUGUAGUUCAUAGUAAGGCUGUUUAUAGUUCAUAGUAAGGCUGUUUGUAGUUCAUAGUAAGGCUGUUUAUAGUUCAUAGUAAGGCUGUUUGUAGUUCAUAGUAAGGCUGUUUGUAGUUCAUAGUAAGGCUGUUUGUAGUUCAUAGUAAGGCUGUUCGUAGUUCAUAGUAAGGCUGUUUAUAGUUCAUAGUAAGGCUGUUUAUAGUUCAUAGUAAGGCUGUUUGUAGUUCAUAGUAAGGCUGUUUAUAGUUCAUAGUAAGGCUGUUUGUAGUUCAUAGUAAGGCUGUUUAUAGUUCAUAGUAAGGCUGUUUAUAGUUCAUAGUAAGGCUGUUUAUAGUUCAUAGUAAGGCUGUUUAUAGUUCAUAGUAAGGCUGUUUAUAGUUCAUAGUAAGGCUGUAUAUAGUUCAUAGUAAGGCUGUUUAUAGUUCAUAGUAAGGCUGUUUGUAGUUCACAGUAAGGCUGUUUAUAGUUCACAGUAAGGCUGUUCAUAGUUCAUAGUAAGGCUGUUUAUAGUUCACAGUAAGGCUGUUUAUAGUUCAUAGUAAGGCUGUUUAUAGUUCAUAGUAAGGCUGUUUGUAGUUCAUAGUAAGGCUGUUCGUAGUUCAUAGUAAGGCUGUUUAUAGUUCAUAGUAAGGCUGUUUAUAGUUCAUAGUAAGGCUGUUUGUAGUUCAUAGUAAGGCUGUUUAUAGUUCAUAGUAAGGCUGUUUGUAGUUCAUAGUAAGGCUGUUUAUAGUUCAUAGUAAGGCUGUUUAUAGUUCAUAGUAAGGCUGUUUAUAGUUCAUAGUAAGGCUGUUUAUAGUUCAUAGUAAGGCUGUUUAUAGUUCAUAGUAAGGCUGUAUAUAGUUCAUAGUAAGGCUGUUUGUAGUUCAU
rnacentral:lncRNA from 1 species